rnacentral:piRNA from 1 species
UUUUAUUCAAGUCUGCGAGUG